rnacentral:rRNA from 1 species
UCAGGAGUGAACGCUAGCGGCAGGCUUAACACAUGCAAGUACGAGGGGCGAUCGGGAGGUAGCAAUACUUGCCGGCGACCGGCGCAAGGGUGCGUAACGCGUGAGCAACAUGCCCGUAUCAGGGGGAUAAUCCAUGGAAACGUGGUCUAAUACCCCAUAGUAAUUAUGUAAGACAUCUUAUAUAAUUUAAAGCUUUGGUGGAUACGGAUUGGCUCGCGUGACAUUAGCUAGAUGGUAAGGUAACGGCUUACCAUGGCUACGAUGUCUAGGGGUUCUGAGAGGAAGGUCCCCCCACACUGGAACUGAGACACGGUCCAGACUCCUACGGGAGGCAGCAGUGAGGAAUAUUGGACAAUGGAUGGAAAUCUGAUCCAGCCAUGCCGCGUGCAAGGAAGACGGCCCUAUGGGUUGUAAACUGCUUUUGUAUGGGAGCAAUAAGGGCUACGCGUAGUCCGAUGAGAGUACCAUACGAAUAAGCACCGGCUAACUCCGUGCCAGCCGCCGC